AAUCAAAUAGGCGAUGACGUUCGCCAUUAACUGAGUAAAAUCUGAUGACGUCUACUACCUC
rnacentral:ncRNA from 2 species